AUUCGCCCUUAGAGUUUGAUCCUGGCUCAGGAUGAACGCUGGCGGCGUGCCUAACACAUGCAAGUCGAACGAAGCGCUGGGGCGGAAUUUCUUCGGAAAGGAAGCCCCUGUGACUGAGUGGCGGACGGGUGAGUAACGCGUGGACAACCUACCCCGCACUGGGGGACAACAGCCGGAAACGGCUGCUAAUACCGCAUAUGCGCACGGCCCCGCAUGGGGCUGUGCGGAAAGCCCAGGCGGUGCGGGAUGGGUCCGCGUCUGAUUAGCUUGUUGGCGGGGUAACGGCCCACCAAGGCGACGAUCAGUAGCCGGCCUGAGAGGGUGGGCGGCCACAUUGGGACUGAGACACGGCCCAGACUCCUACGGGAGGCAGCAGUGGGGGAUAUUGCACAAUGGGGGCAACCCUGAUGCAGCGACGCCGCGUGAGCGAUGGAGUACUUCGGUAUGUAAAGCUCUGUCAGCAGGGAAGACAUUGACGGUACCUGACCAAGAAGCCCCGGCUAAAUACGUGCCAGCAGCCGCGGUAAUACGUAUGGGGCAAGCGUUAUCCGGAUUUACUGGGUGUAAAGGG
rnacentral:rRNA from 1 species